AAACUACUCCCUCCGUCCCAAAAUAAGUGUCUCAAGCUUAAUACUACUUUGUACUAAAGUUCAAAGUUGAGACACUUAUUUUGGGACGGAGGGAGUAUAAA
rnacentral:pre_miRNA from 1 species